CCUACGGGAGGCAGCAGUGGGGAAUAUUGCACAAUGGGGGAAACCCUGAUGCAGCGACGCCGCGUGAGUGAAGAAGUAUUUCGGUAUGUAAAGCUCUAUCAGCAGGGAAGAAAUAGCGACCUUUGGGUCGCCAGACGGUACCUGAUUAAGAAACCCCGGCUAACUACGUGCCAGCAGCCGCGGUAAUACGUAGGGGGCAAGCGUGAUCCGGAUUUACUGGGUGUAAAGGGAGCGUAGACGGCGGCGCAAGUCGGAAGGGAAAUGCCUGGGCGUAAACCCGGAAGUGCUUUUGAGACUGUGGAGCUAGAGUGCAGGAGAGGUAAGUGGAAUUCCUGGUGUAGCGGUGAAAUGCGUAGAUAUUAGGAGGAACACCAGUGGCGAAGGCGGCUUACUGGACUGUAACUGACGUUGAGGCUCGAAAGCGUGGGGAGCGAACAGGAUUAGAUACCCGGGUAGUC
rnacentral:rRNA from 1 species